UUUCCUUACUUGCUGCCUAUAUUGACUGCUUUUAGGCCAGAUACAGAGAGAAGAGUACACCUCAGGUUUGAGAGCUGAUGCAGCUGACACCAUUACUCUUGAAGUCCUGCCCAGUAAGUCCUAGGGACACAUCUUGUUGAAAGCUGAAGAAUAUUGUAUAAAGGCUUUAAAGAGCAACAAAGAACUUGAUAAGCCUGUCUGUUUCACUGCUGUUCUUCACCAAACUGAUGUAAGAUGUAGUACAUCCAUCCAUGACUGCUUCUUUUUUCUCUGAGCAAUGUGCACAAGAGUUUCUGAAUCCAACCAUCUGUAAUUUUUUUUCUUGGCAGAAAUUAAAUUUGGUGGAUAUAGGCAUAAGGAUGGACUAGGAUACUUGUCCAAAUGAGCAGAAUGACAAUAUCCCUAAUGGGAACUGUUCAUAACUAGAAGUUACCAUGGUAUUCCUAACUACUUGUUUUAUUUUAGUAUGUUGCUUGAGUAGUUUCAAGAUGGUAUUUGUAUAAUAUCAGGGUAUUAAAAAGAUAAUAGAAGGAGUCUAUGCCAUUUCUUUUUCAGUUCUAAUGUAAUAAAUAUUUGACAUAACAAAAAAAUAACAUUUUGAAUUGCUUUUGGGUAUGACAGAUGUACACCCAUUAAACUGCUGUCAUUUCAGUUGGAAAAAAGUCAUAUAGAUCCACAUUAUGAUUCACUGAUUCAUCUAUGUAGUCUUGUUAGCUGCAAAACUGAAAAUAUUAGAGUGAAAAAGCAUUAGUUAGCCAAACUUGAGGAAGUAAUAUGCAUAUUUUGUCAAAAAUCUUGUUCACCAUCUGCCCUUUGGAAUAUACACUAACAACCAACUGAUUCUAAUUAUAAACAUGGGGGGAAAAACCCCAACUCUCAUGAAUUAAUCCUUAUUCUUCAGAUGCUGGAAUACUUUCCACUAGAGUAUUUUUCAGGCUGCUGAUUGGGGUGGCCCAUGUAAACUCUCUUGUAGGAUUCAUAUAUUGAUGAGGAGGAAAUGGCAGAGAUAUGAAAAAGUCACCAUCACCAACCCUAUCUGCUUCUGUUCUUCAAGUUACCUUGGAACGAGCUCCUCCUUCCUCAUGUAGAAACACUAACUGGCAGUGAGAGGGGAAGAAAAUGAACAAGAAUAUCUUGUUUUAUUAAAGGUUUUACUGAUAUUGUAAACCCCCUUGAGGUCUUCAGAUGAAAUGUGUAUUGAACCAACAUCAGGUGAAGAAAAAUACCAAUUGCUUUCCUUUAUUGACUUUAUUAUGAAUAAAGUCAGUGAAGCAAGUUCUGCUGAACUGAGCACAUCAAAUAUCCCUAGUUUGUGAGGGUCUGAAUUAAACCAGGAGUCUCAAAUUGAGGACAGCAAUGCCAAGACACUGCAUCACCAUGACAACUUAAUAGAGAAAGAGCUGCCAGUCUGCUGUCUACUAUGUUGAAGUGAAAGAUAGUGCAUGUUUCCAGUCCAACAGCAGUUGGGUGAUGUAUGGGGCCAAUUGUACUUCACCUGGUUCUAUAAAGCUGCUGACUUUGGCCUGUUGAUUUAGCUUGAGUCAUUCUGAAGUUACCCAUUCCAGGUUGCUUACCUGUUUGAGUUUAGGUAAUUUAACCUGAUAAUCUGUUACAUCAUAUGCUUUGCUUCUCAGAACAGUGUGUUUGAUUGAUUGAUUGAUUGAUUGAUUGAUUGAUAUACCACCCUUCCAAAACGUAUAUAUUCAGAAUGCAUAUUCUGAAAGGUGGGGCUUAAGGAUAGGACUUUGUAGUACAUGGUUUAUUAUUAUCUCUUUCUCCUAUGGACAGGUAUGUAUUGGGAACAACCCCCCUGCCCCCACAAUAAACACCUUCCCACAAAUGGGAAAUUAAGAGAUGUUCUCCUUCUAUAACUCAUGUCUUAUAAUGGAUAAAAAGUAUCUCCAUGAAAGAAUUUCAAGAAUACAGGUUCCAGACUGAUUUUUCCCAAUGUCUUUGCAGUAAACAGGCAAAUGAAAAAUUGGCCAUCUUAACAAUAAAGAGUAAAGUAAUGAGAUAAAUGUUUGAUAGGUGAGUUUGCAAUAACAAAGCAGCAUUAAUGAGAUAGGAUUAUUACUUCCUAGAAGCUAAUGAACUAGAUGUAGAACAGACAAGGGAAAACACCUCUCCACUAACUAUGGGAUUCUGAACUGUUGGUCAGACACAUUCUUUCAUUUCUGUUUUCAAUAUUUUAAAAUGAUAUCUAAAAUAUGAAAAGACCUUUUAUCUAUAGUCCACAUUUGUCUAAUUUAAGUAGAUCAAAUUGAAACUCAUUACAAACUGAAAUGAAAUAGAGACUUAUCACUAUCCAGUAUAGUCAAUGAGCUGUGUGCCAUGCCCCUGCUACCCAGCUGACCAAUGUGCCUGUGUGGUGGCGGCCAUUUAAGGGGUCAGCAUGGCAAAACCUGACAAUAUAAUAUCAUUGAUUAGAGGGUUGCAACUUCUCUAAGGCUGGGUUCUGUCAACCAUGUUAAUCUCAGUUAAAUGAAAUAAAUGCCUUUUCCAUGUCAAGCUAGCUGAAUGCUUGCUAAGAGUUUUGAAAUAUACAUGUUUAGCCUACCAUACCUUG